rnacentral:rRNA from 1 species
CCUACGGGAGGCAGCAGUGAGGAAUCUUGGUCAAUGGACGCAAGUCUGAACCAGCCAUGUCGCGUGAAGGAGGACGGCCCUAAGGGUUGUAGACUUCUUUUGCAGCGGAAUAAAGUUUGCCACGAGUUGGCGAUUUGCAAGUACGCUGCGAAUAAGGAUCGGCUAACUCCGUGCCAGCAGCCGCGGUAAUACGGAGGAUCCGGGCGUUAUCCGGAUUUAUUGGGUUUAAAGGGUGCGCAGGCGGGGAUUUAGGUCGGCGGUGAAAUUUCGGGGCUCAACCUCGACAGUGCCGUUGAAACCGUUUCUCUUGAGUGCGGAUGAGGUAGGCGGAAUUUGUGGUGUAGCGGUGAAAUGCGUAGAUAUCACAAGGAACACCGAUUGCGGAGGCAGCUUACUAAACCGUUACUGACGCUCAUGCACGAAGGCGUGGGGAUCAAACAGGAUUAGAUACCCUGGUAGUCCACGCAGUAAACGAUGAUUACUUGCUGUUUGCGAUACACAGUAAGCGGCGAAGCGAAAGCGUUAAGUAAUCCACCUGGGGAGUACGUUCGCAAGAAUGAAACUCAAAUGAAUUGACGG